GUUUGACCUCGGAUCAGGUAGGGAUACCCGCUGAACUUAAGCAUAUCAAUAAGCGGAGGAAAAGAAACCAACAGGGAUUGCCCUAGUAACGGCGAGUGAAGCGGCAACAGCUCAAAUUUGAAAUCUGGCUCUUUCAGAGUCCGAGUUGUAAUUUGCAGAGGGCGCUUUGGCUUUGGCAGCGGUCCAAGUUCCUUGGAACAGGACGUCACAGAGGGUGAGAAUCCCGUACGUGGUCGCUAGCUAUUGCCGUGUAAAGCCCCUUCGACGAGUCGAGUUGUUUGGGAAUGCAGCUCUAAAUGGGAGGUAAAUUUCUUCUAAAGCUAAAUAUUGGCCAGAGACCGAUAGCGCACAAGUAGAGUGAUCGAAAGAUGAAAAGCACUAUGGAAAGAGAGUCAAACAGCACGUGAAAUUGUUGAAAGGGAAGCGCUUGCAGCCAGACUUGCUUGCAGUUGCUCAUCCGGGCUUUUGCCCGGUGCACUCUUCUGCAGGCAGGCCAGCAUCAGUUUGGGCGGUGGGAUAAAGGUCUCUGACACGUUCCUUCCUUCGGGUUGGCCAUAUAAGGGGAAACGUCCUACCACCAACC
rnacentral:rRNA from 1 species